ACGCACGUGUGAAACUUGAAGGAAUUGACGGAAGGGCACCACAAGAACGCGUGGAGCAUGUGGCUUAAUUUGACUCAACGCGGGAAAUCUUACCGGGUCCGGACACACUGAGGAUUGACAGGCAAUAUUAAAUAUUUUGAUUCCUUCGGGAUGAUGGUAUUUAUGUUAAAUAUGCUAGUCCUUUCAUGAUUAUGUGAUAGGUGGUGCAUGGCCGUUCUUAGUUCGUGGAGUGAUCUGUCUGCUUAAUUGCGUUUCACUAAGGGCUUAUCUAAUUUUAACGUGUGUUGUGAGUACUUUGACCCCAAUUUUGAAAUAUAAGUUGUGCGUGUCUUAGUUUGCUUCACUCACACAAAUGAGUCCUGAAAGCAACGAACGUGACCG
rnacentral:rRNA from 1 species